GUGGGGAAUAUUGGACAAUGGGCGAAAGCCUGAUCCAGCCAUGCCGCGUGUGUGAAGAAGGUCUUCGGAUUGUAAAGCACUUUAAGUUGGGAGGAAGGGCAGUAAGUUAAUACCUUGCUGUUUUGACGUUACCAACAGAAUAAGCACCGGCUAACUUCGUGCCAGCAGCCGCGGUAAUACGAAGGGUGCAAGCGUUAAUCGGAAUUACUGGGCGUAAAGCGCGCGUAGGUGGUUCAGCAAGUUGGAGGUGAAAUCCCCGGGCUCAGCCUGGGAACUGCCUCCAAAACUACUGAGCUAGAGUACGGUAGAGGGUAGUGGAAUUUCCUGUGUAGCGGUGAAAUGCGUAGAUAUAGGAAGGAACACCAGUGGCGAAGGCGACUACCUGGACUGAUACUGACACUGAGGUGCGAAAGCGUGGGGAGCAAACAGGAUUAGAUACCCGUGUAGUCC
rnacentral:rRNA from 1 species